GAUUUCUGGCCUGAAACAUUUUGCCGGCCACGGUUUCGUGUGUUAGUGCUUUGUGUUCUGGCCAUCCUUCCAAUCGCUAUUCAGCUUUCUUCAUUGAUUGUUGAGUGGUAUUGGAUCUUUUACUUUGAAAAAAUUAGAGUGUUUCAAGCAGGCUUUAUGCUAUGAAUACAUUAGCAUGGAAUAAUAAUUUAGGACUUUGCUUCUAUUUUAUUGGUUUCUAGGAGUAAAGUAAUGAUUGAUAGGGAUAGUUGGGGGUGCUAGUAUUCAUCGGCCAGAGGUGAAAUUCUCGGAUUCGCUGAAGACUAACUUAUGCGAAAGCAUU
rnacentral:rRNA from 1 species